rnacentral:rRNA from 1 species
AUGGCAGCGAGGCAGUGGGUCAGGUGGGAGGAGGAGAUCUUGCUGGAGGACGAUGAUGAACACCACACGGAGUGCUUCUACCUCCGCUGCGCCCCACUCCUGGGCGGUGGUGUGAGCGAGAGGGAUCUGGCGGUGGUGGGUAAGUAUUGUCCGGACCCAGCCCCCGGGAACAUGGUGUACUCGGCGGACCCGCAGUUCCUGCGGUUCCUCCAGGAGGGAAUAACCUGUGACUCAGUGUUGGCUAUGGGGGUGACGGUGCGGGUGGAGAUCACCCAACUCAGCUGGAAGUCCAGGAAGGAGGUCAUCGACUGGCUCAACUUGCUCGUCUCAGAAAGCAGCGGCCAGGCAUCCAACAGAGGCGCUGCUAACCCGGUGAAUUCAGUGCCUGUGCAAGAGAUCUGCAUAACCAACGAACAGGCCCCUGUCCCUGCUAUCGACGAAGAGCAAGUGAUCGACCUGACCAUGUCUGACGACUAA